rnacentral:tRNA from 1 species
GCCUGGGUGGCUCAGUCGGUUAAGCGUCCGACUUCAACUCAGGUCACGAUCUCGCGGUCAGCGAGUUCGAGCCCCGCAUCAGGCU